CUUCAUUAAUAACUGAGUUCAGAGUUGCUGCUGUCUUCACAUGUCGACUGUCGACAGCAGCUGGAAACACACACUCCAGUUAAACCAGUUAGAGGAAGGAAGUUCACCUCAGAGCAGAGGGGGAGGGUCAGGUCUGCCAGAGGAGGGUCCAACUUGUUAUUGAGGAAGAAGAAGAGAUCCAGUUUCAGAUGACAGCCGAGCGCUGACACACACGCAUUAAAAACAGCUUUGCUCCUGAUUCACCGCCGAGGAAACAUCGUUGAGUCUGAGCCUGAGCUCAGGGAACCUCAGAGACAUGGUGUGACUGAUCAUCAACGCCUGCAGGUUCGUGGUGCAGAAGAUCCGGGCUGCAGUGAGAGGAGAGGAGCAGCCGGAGAAGUCCAGCACCGCGGGAUGAGGCCAGGCGAAAGCACCGAAGGACGGCAGGAUGAGCGCUGAAGAGCCGGCGCUGAUUCCCCGUCCGACCCAGGAGGUCGAUGUGCUGCAGAAACAAGAUUGUGGAUCCUGAAAGUAAACUGAGAGCCGGAGGAGAAAGUGGAAGCUCCAUAAUGAGAUGACAAACAUAAAAACACCUUUACCAAACACACAAGCACAGGAAGAUUUGAUCCCCAGACUCCUGAACCUUGAAUUAUUCCGACUCCCACAAGCUUCCAGCUCUCAGUUUUCUUUCCUUCGUCCGGCGGAGAGACGAGCAGUCGGAGUCGGCAGAGAGAAUGAAAGUCUGAUCACCAAUUCCCCUCCAGAGGAACUGAUCAGUCUGGAUGAUAACAAAGACUCUGCUGAUGAAGCUGCAACAGAUCGUUUAUUCAUGUUUACACACACGUGUUCUUUUUCUGUCACUGUUUCACAAUGUUCAGUAAAAAUGGAACAACUUUC